AUUGAACGCUGGCGGCAGGCCUAACACAUGCAAGUCGAGCGAGCGGCGGACGGGUGAGCAAUGACUGGGAAACUGCCUGAUGGAGGGGGAUAACUACUGGAAACGGUAGCUAAUAACGCACACCAUCAGAUGAGUCGAGGUGGGAUUAGCUAGUGGGGGGGGUAAAGCCGCACCUAGGUGACGAUCCCUAGCUGGUCUGAGAGGAUGACCAGCCACACUGGAACUGCGACACGGUCCAGACUCCGACGUGAGGAAGCAGUGGGGAAUAUUGCACAAUGGGCGAAAGCCUGAUGCAGCCAUGCCGCGUGUGUGAAGAAGUCCUUCGGGUUGUAAAGCACUUUCAGCGGGGAGGCGUUACUCGCAGAAGAAGCACCGGCUAACUCCGUGCCAGCAGCCGCGGUAAUUC
rnacentral:rRNA from 1 species